CUGAACGCUGGCGGCGUGGCUAAGACAUGCAAGUCGCACGGGUGUAGCAAUACACCAGUGGCGCACGGGUGAGUAAUGUAUCGCUAAUGUACCCUUGAGCUGGGGAUAGCCAGCCGAAAGGCUGGGUAAUACCCGAUGAAAUAUCCUUGCUGCAUGGUGAGGAUCUCAAAGCCGUAAGGCACUCUUGGAGCAGGCGAUAUCGUAUCAGCUAGUUGGUGAGGUAACGGCUCACCAAGGCGAUGACGCGUAGCUGGUCUGAGAGGACGACCAGCCACAUCGGGACUGAGACACUGCCCGGACUCCUACGGGGGGCUGCAGUAACGAAUCUUCCGCAAUGCACGAAAGUGUGACGGAGCGACGCCGCGUGUAGGACGAAGUCCUUCGGGAUGUAAACUACUGUCAGGGGAAAGAAAGUUCUGAUCUACCCCAGAGGAAGAGGCGGCUAACUCUGU
rnacentral:rRNA from 1 species